rnacentral:rRNA from 1 species
AACGAACGCUGGCGGCAUGCCUAACACAUGCAAGUCGAACGAGACCUUCGGGUCUAGUGGCGCACGGGUGCGUAACGCGUGGGAACCUGCCCUUAGGUUCGGAAUAACUCCCCGAAAGGGGUGCUAAUACCGGAUAAUGUCUUCGGACCAAAGAUUUAUCGCCUUUGGAUGGGCCCGCGUUGGAUUAGCUAGUUGGUAGGGUAAAAGCAUACCAAGGCGACGAUCCAUAGCUGGUCUGAGAGGAUGAUCAGCCACACUGGGACUGAGACACGGCCCAGACUCCUACGGGAGGCAGCAGUGGGGAAUAUAGGAAAAUGGGCGAAAGCAUGAUAGAGCAAUGCCGCGUGAGUGAUGAAGGCCUUAGGGUAGUAAAGCUCUUUUAACCGGGAUGAUAAUGACAGUACCGGGAGAAUAAGCUCCGGCUAACUCCGUG